rnacentral:misc_RNA from 1 species
GGCAGCUGCACAGUAAAACUUGUCAGUCUCUCCUCCAAAUCUCCAUUGCUCUGGUAAUGUUAUUGCUGUAGUUGAGAUUUUUGUGAAUUAGGGUUCAUUUUUUCUUUUGAAUCAUGAGAUUUACUUGUAACUCUCCGAUUUUGCUGUAGAAAUUUGCGCUGUCAAAUACUAGUAGAUUUAUUUAUGUAUUAAUGGGAAGCAAGUAUUCCAAGGCAACAAAUUCCAUAAGUGAUGCUUCAAACUCUUUUGAAAGUUAUCGAUUUCCUUUAGAAGAUUUGGAGGAAGCAACCAACAAUUUUGAUGACAAGUUUUUCAUUGGAGAGGGUGCAUUUGGGAAGGUUUACAAGGGUGUUUUGCGUGAUGGAACAAAGGUCGCCCUGAAAAGGCAAAAUCGUGACUCCCGGCAAGGUAUUGAAGAGUUCGGAACAGAAAUUGGGAUACUCUCACGCCGUAGCCAUCCGCAUCUGGUUUCAUUGAUAGGAUACUGUGAUGAAAGAAAUGAGAUGAUUCUAAUUUAUGACUACAUGGAGAAUGGGAACCUCAAGAGCCAUUUGACUGGCUCAGAUCUACCCUCCAUGAGCUGGGAGCAGAGGCUGGAGAUAUGCAUAGGGGCAGCCAGAGGUCUACACUACCUUCAUACUAACGGAGUUAUGCAUCGUGAUGUCAAAUCUUCAAACAUAUUGCUUGAUGAGAAUUUUGUGGCAAAAAUUACUGAUUUUGGACGAUUCAAGAAAGCUUGAUCAAACCCAUGUUACCACAAUAGAAAAGGGAACUUUUGGUUAUCUUGACCCUGAAUAUUAUCAAACUAGUCUGCUGACAGAAAAAUCUGAUGUUUAUUCUUUCGGUGUUGUUUUAUUUGAAGUUCUUUGUGCUAGGUCUGCCAUGGUUCAAUCUCUUCCAAGGGAGAUGGUUAAUUUAGCUGAAUGGGCAGUGGAGUCGCAUAAUAAUGGACAGUUGGAACAAAUCGUAGAUCCCAAUCUUGCAGAUAAAAUAAGACCAGAGUCCCUCAGGAAGUUUGGAGAAACAGCGGUAAAAUGCUUAGCUUUGUCUAGUGAAGAUAGGCCAUCAAUGGGUGAUGUGUUGUGGAAACUGGAGUAUGCACUUCGUCUCCAAGAGUCUGUUAUUUAAGAUAUUUUUGUUUUUCUGAGUUUUAUAUAGAAAGGUAAACUUUGAAAACUUGAAUUGCUAUACCUGUGGAUCCUUCUUUCAUUUUAUUAGGUGCGUCCGGCUGUUACACAUAUUGUAUAUGGUUCUUAUUAAGUUGUUCAGACAUUUUCUUAUUGUAAAGAGGCAAAAAGGAAGUUUGC